UCCGGUUUAUCACCGGCAGUUUCUUUAGAGUGCCCGACAUUACUCGCUGGUAACUAAAGAUGAGGGUUGCGCUCGUUGCGGGACUUAACCCAACAUCUCACGACACGAGCUGACGACAGCCAUGCAACACCUGUAAUGGUCCGGCCGAACCGACUCGCAAAUCUCUUUGCAAUUUAACCAUUAUGUCAAGGCCUGGUAAGGUUUUUCGCGUAGCUUCGAAUUAAACCACAUGUUCCACCGCUUGUGCGGGUCCCCGUCAAUUCCGUUUGAGUUUUAGCCUUGCGGCCGUACUUCCCAGGCGGAGUGCUUAACGCGUUAACUUCGACACCGAGAACUUAAGUCCCGAUAUCUAGCACUCACCGUUUAGGGCGUGGACUAC
rnacentral:misc_RNA from 1 species